GGAUUCACACUCUUCCUACUUGCAGCUGUGACACGGGAAACAUCCUCCACCAGGUCUUCUCUCACAGUGUGGCCUCUGCGCGCAGAUUAUCCACCUGAGGGUCUCGACGGUGAAGAGCAGGCUGUUUCCAUCUUCAGGAUAGAAGCCACCUGCUCAUAGGAAGAGGGUCCAGAGGCUCAUCUGGAAUCCCUCCUCACUCACUGGACGGAGGACCUGACCCCGUUCCCAUCAUUGGUUCUGAAUCCAUCAGCCCAGCAAGACAGGUCUCUCCAGCAAGUUCUGUAAAAUACAACCACAGCCGGGCCUGGAGUCAGCCCCCGACAAACGGUUCAUCAUG
rnacentral:lncRNA from 1 species